CAGGCGUAGGAAAUUUGAGAAGACCUGUCCUUAGUACGAGAGGACCGGGAUGGACGUACCUCUGGUGUACCAGUUGUCCUGCCAAGGGCAUGGCUGGGUAGCUAUGUACGGAAUGGAUAAGCGCUGAAAGCAUCUAAGCGCGAAGCCAACUUCAAGAUAAGAUUUCCCACCGCAAGGGUAAGACUCCAGAAAGACUAUCUGGUUGAUAGGUCGAAGGUGUAAGUGCAGCAAUGUAUUUAGCUUAUCGAUACUAAUAGGUCGAGGACUUGACCAA
rnacentral:rRNA from 1 species